rfam:Brachypodium distachyon strain Bd21 chromosome 3, whole genome shotgun sequence.
AAAGUACUUCCUCCGUCCCAUAUUAAGUGACUUUCUCUUACAUGUAUCUAGAUGCUUUUUAGGCAUAGAUACAUCCAUUUUUGGGCAAAUGUGAGUCACUUAAUAUGAGACGGAGGGAGUAUAUU